UACGUAGGGGGGCAAGCGUUGUCCGGAUUUAUUGGGCGUAAAGAGCGUGUAGGCGGUUUGGUAGGUCCGUUGUGAAAACUCGAGGCUCAACCUCGAGACGCCGAUGGAAACCAUCAGACUAGAGUCCGGAAGAGGAGAGUGGAAUUCCUGGUGUAGCGGUGAAAUGCGCAGAUAUCAGGAAGAACACCCGUGGCUAAGGCGGCUCUCUAGUACGGUACUGACGCUGAGACGCGAAAGCGUGGGGAGCGAACAGG
rnacentral:rRNA from 1 species